GUCCAGACGCUCCGAUGGCGAUCUUGUUUCUCUCAGACUCUGGCAUGGACGGGUCUGAGGAAGACAGACAGACAGGUGAGCAGACAGACAGGUGAAAAGGUGAGCAGACAGACAAGUGAGCAGACAGACAGACAGACAGGUGAAAAGGUGAGCAGACAGACAAGUGAGCAGACAGAUAGGUGAAAAUGUGAGCAGACAGACAGGUGAAAAGGUGAGCAGACAGACAGGUGAAAGGUGAGCAGACAGACAGGUGAGCAGACAGACAGGUGAGCAGGCAGACAGGUGAAAAGGUGAGCAGACAGACAGGUGAAAAGGUGAGCAGACAGACAGGUGAGCAGACAGACAGGU